rnacentral:rRNA from 1 species
GUCCUAGCCGUAAACGAUGGACACUAGGUGUUGGAUCCUUCUUGGGUACAGUGCCGCAGAUAACUCGUUAAGUGUCCCACCUGAGGAGUACGGCCGCAAGGUUGAAACUCAAAGGAAUUGACGGGGGCCAGCACAAGCGGUGGAACAUGUGGUUCAAUUCGAUGCUACGCGAAGAACCUUACCCAGGCUUGACAUGCAAGAAGUAGGGACCUGAAAGGGAACCCACUCGUAACCAGUCGAGAGCUUGCACAGGUGCUGCAUGGCUGUCGU